AUAGCCAGGUUAACCCUAGACCUAGAGAGUGGCUGUGUGGGUGGGGGCGUGCGGCACUCCCCAUUCCCCAACUCCCUCGGCAUCGGCGGCGCAUCCAGGUCCUGCGCGCCUGCAGCGCCGCCCCGCCCCUGCCACCGUCGUCCGUCGCCAGUCGUCUCCACCUCCCCUCGUCUUCCUCCUCGCCAUCUCUGCCGGCGGCGCCGACGCCUCGCUGUCUCGGCCGCCACACCACCUCCACGCGGCGACGCGGCGACGCCGGUCGCCGCACCACCUCGACGACCACGCAGCAACGCUGGCCGCCGCACCACCUCCACGCGGCGACGCCUGCCGCCGCACCACCACCACGCACCGACACGGUGACGCCGGCCGCCGCACCACCUCCACGCGCCGACACCUGCCAUCUCAACUCAACGAUUCAGCAUCUCGACAGAUCUGUGAUGGAUUCCUCACAUGCAACUAUGCAAGUAGCAGCAGUGCAACUGUAUGCUGUGCAAAUGUAGCUUAUCUGUGAUGGAUUUCUAUGUGCAAGUGAUUGAGAUGUGGUGAUGUAAUGAUGUGUGUGGUUUUUCAUGAUAUGUUUCAUUGGAAGUGAAUUGUACAAGUGUUGUUUUAGAUAAAUAAUGAGCUAUAUCUCUUCCUUGAUUUGAGAAGCUUAUUUUGAGGGGUUUUUGUACUUUGAUAAUUAUUCGUUACCAUAUUCGCUCCGUAUCUGUAUUCGACAAUAUUCGAUUCCGUUUU